UACGUAGGCAGCAAGCGUUGUUCGAGUACUGGGCGUAAAGGGUGUGUAGGCGGUUUUCUAAGUCUGGUGUGAAAUCUCCCGGCUCAACUGGGAGGGUGCGCCCGAAAACUGGAAGGCUAGAGUGCGGGAUGGGAGAGUGGAAUUCCUGGUGUAGCGGUGAAAUGCGUAGAUAUCAGGAGGAACACCGGUGGCGAAGGCGGGUCUCUGGGCCGAUACUGACGCUGAGGAGCGAAAGCGUGGGGGAGCGAACAGG
rnacentral:rRNA from 1 species